AUUGAACGCUGGCGGCAUGCUUUACACAUGCAAGUCGAACGGUAACAGCACUUCGGUGGCUGACGAGUGGCGAACGGGUGAGUAAUACAUCGGAACGUGCCUAGUAGUGGGGGCUAACUACUCGAAAGAGUAGCUAAUACCGCAUGAGAUCUAAGGAUGAAAGCAGGGGACCUUCGGGCCUUGCGCUACUAGAGCGGCUGAUGGCAGAUUAGGUAGUUGGUGGGAUAAAAGCUUACCAAGCCGACGAUCUGUAGCUGGUCUGAGAGGACGACCAGCCACACUGGGACUGAGACACGGCCCAGACUCCUACGGGAGGCAGCAGUGGGGAAUUUUGGACAAUGGGCGCAAGCCUGAUCCAGCAAUGCCGCGUGCAGGAUGAAGGCCUUCGGGUUGUAAACUGCUUUUGUACGGAACGAAAAGCCCUCUUCUAAUACAGGAGGGUCAUGACGGUACCGUAAGAAUAAGCACCGGCUAACUACGUG
rnacentral:rRNA from 1 species